GUGUCAGCAGCCGCGGUAAUACGGGGGGUGCGAGCGUUGUCCGGAUUCACUGGGCGUAAAGGGCGCGUAGGCGGCUGGCUCAGUCGGGCCUGUAAGUGCGGGGCUCAACCCCGUGAUGGGCUCGGGACGGGCUGGCUGGGGCGCGGUCGAGGGAGACGGAAUGCCGGGUGUAGUGGUGAAAUGCGUAGAGAUCCGGCGGAACACCGGUGGUGAAGGCGGUCUCCUGGGCCGAGGGCCGACGCUGAGGCGCGAGAGCGUGGGGAGCGAACCGGAUUAGAAACCCUUGUAGUCC
rnacentral:rRNA from 1 species